AGUACCUGUUUGGCUGUAAUAAAUGGUACCGAUACCGUGAUCGGUUGGAGCCUUUUUAUUGGAAAGUGAAGGUUGAAGAAGAGGUAGAGAUGAGCCCUGGCCCCUGGCUUCCUUCGGAGCUCUGACUUCUAAGAUGGUGCGUGUUUCUUUCUUAUUGAUUUUUUUUUCUCAGUUGAAUUUCUUCAAAAAGAAUUUGUGCAGAAAUGGCGGAUCGAUCAAGGAAAUGGUGAUGCUGGCCGUGAAUUGGAGAUUUUACCGAUGUUGAGAUCGGUGUUUCUAGAUCUGCAAUUUUGCAGGAGUCGGGCUUCGAAUUUCUGCGUAAUUUGGCCCCUUUUUUUCAACAAUUUGUGCAGAAUGGUGGAAUUGGACAACAAGGUGGCAAAAGCCUACCUUCGAUUUGAAAGUGAAUGGGCAAAAAUUUUGCUGCUCCUUAGAUCUGCAAUUUCACUAUCAUUUCUCCCUAAAAAUUAUGCAGAAAUGGUGAGAAAUCGAAGAAAUGCUGCUACUGGCCGGGUCACCUGAUCUUUCUGUACAAAAUUUUCUUUUUCUCUGUUUUUAGAUCGGAAAAUGCCUCUCCACUGAAAAAGUCAAGAAGAAUACGUUAUACAUGAGAGUUAGUCCCUCGAAAAGGAGUUCUUUAAAGGCAUGUUUGGUGGAACACCAGAGUGCUCAACUUAAAUAAUUAGGGUACAAUCGAGUCUAAAAUUUUGGACCUGCUCAGCUUAAUCCAAA